rnacentral:tRNA from 1 species
GCGGUGGUAGUAUAGUGGUUAUUACAUACGGUUGUGGUCCGUAAAACCCGGGUUCAAUUCCCGGCUACCGCA